CUGGAAGAGGGUGAUGCUCUGCAGUUGCUGUAGCUGUAAGGUUGUGGGGGGACAGGGUGCAGGAGGACAGGGGUGAGGAGACAGGGUGUGGGGGGAUGGGGUAGAGGGAUGCAGGGGGAUGGACUGCAGCAGGUGGGGUGCGGGAGCUGCAGGGGGUGGGGUGCGGGGGCGCACUCUCACCUGGAAGAGGGUGAUGCUUUGCAGCACGCUGGAGCUGUAGCGGUGCAGGGGGACAGGGUGUGGGGCAAUGGGGUAGAGGAGUGCAGGAGGCAGGGUGCAGGGGGAUGGACUGCAGCAGUUGGGAUGCGGGAGCUGCAGGGGGUGGGGUGCGGGGGCGCGCUCUCACCUGGAAGAGGGUGAUGCUCUGCAGCACGCUGGAGCUGU